UUUCAAAGGGAUUUUAGAGACUUUCAGGAAGGCAAUAUCUUUAAAAAUAAAAACAAACGAAACUUUAGAAAUAGAAAUGUGGGCAAAGGGUUUUCUUCCUCUGAGGAAACCGAAUGGUCUGACUCUGAAACACACUGGCGUCAGAACAAAAGACCCGGGUUUAAUAGAAACAAUUAUAAAUCUCCCACUGGUCAAACUAGAGGUAUCCUUAGAAACACCGAAAAAAAUAUUUCCUUUGCAGGCCCUCCCCUUGUAACUGUGUCAGACUCCAGUUCCAGACAAGAAACUUCGUCAGGUUCGUCCCAAUCGUCUUUGACUUUUUUAGACCAGGACUGGCCCCAACCACAGCGAGAACGACUCAGAGACAGGAAAAAAUGGGGCUACAAGACACACAAGUCCAACUACCAAUGACUAAUGCCCUACAGGAAAAUAAAAUAAUAAACCUGUCCAACUUUGUUUUAAAAUCCAGACAUGUCUCUCUUCUACAAAAAGGGUUAUCUUUUGUACCCACACCCUCUAGGAAUAUGUUUAAUUGGGCUAAGGAUGUGAAUCUUUUUGGCCGAAAAUUAGCCUUGCAUGCAUUUCAUGAAAAAAGAAACCUUAGAACCCUCAAGGAAUUAGGCCACCCCCCAGAGGAUAAUGCAAUAUAUAGACUUCUUACAGACCUAUAUUCAGAACAAGAAAAGCUAGAAUCACUAACAGAUUGUAAACCACCCAGUUGGUUCACUCCCAAUCUAAAAGAUUUCCCAUGUAUUGAUCUAUUUGUUCAGAUCUGUACAAAAGAACUAGAAUGUCAACAUACCCAACAGUCUCUAACCCCUAAUCUAAAGGCAGAAGAGAGACAGGCUUUACAAGAAUUGCAAUCUGCAACGGAAGUGGAG